rnacentral:lncRNA from 1 species
AUAUUAGUUUUUACUAAGCACGCCAUAAAUACUCUUAAAUUUGGUAUUGAGCAUAAGUCCUUAAAAUAAUUUUUUGAGAAAUCUAAUUUACCUCUCUCUCCACUUUCAGGAAACACUCCUCAACUGUUGUAGCAUGGUUUUCUAAUGUUCAUCAUUUCCUCUAUAACUAGCAUUUAUCUAUUUAACAUGAUUUUUGGCCUUGGAAGUCUCAGUGCAGUUUCUUUAAGAUAACUUAUACUUUUCACAAAGGUAACAAGGCUGCUGAUCAUAUGACAAAAUUAAUGAGGUAGGGGAA